CCUACGGGUGGCAGCAGUGAGGAAUAUUGGUCAAUGGACGAGAGUCUGAACCAGCCAAGUAGCGUGAAGGAUGACUGCCCUAUGGGUUGUAAACUUCUUUUAUAUGGGAAUAAAACGUUCCACGUGUGGGAUUUUGUAUGUACCAUAUGAAUAAGGAUCGGCUAACUCCGUGCCAGCAGCCGCGGUAAUACGGAGGAUCCGAGCGUUAUCCGGAUUUAUUGGGUUUAAAGGGAGCGUAGAUGGAUUGUUAAGUCAGUUGUGAAAGUUUGCGGCUCAACCGUAAAAUUGCAGUUGAAACUGGCAGUCUUGAGUACAGUAGAGGUGGGCGGAAUUCGUGGUGUAGCGGUGAAAUGCUUAGAUAUCACGAAGAACUCCGAUUGCGAAGGCAGUUCACUGGACUGCAACUGACACUGAGGCUCGAAAGUGUGGGUAUCAAACAGGAUUAGAUACCCUUGUAGUC
rnacentral:rRNA from 1 species